UACGUAGGGAGCGAGCGUUGUCCGGAAUUACUGGGUGUAAAGGGAGCGUAGGCGGGGAUGCAAGUUGGGUGUCAAAACUACCGGCUCAACUGGUAGUCGCACUCAAAACUGCAGCUCUUGAGUGAAGUAGAGGCAGGCGGAAUUCCUAGUGUAGCGGUGAAAUGCGUGGAUAUUAGGAGGAACACCAGUGGCGAAGGCGGCCUGCUGGACUGCAACUGACGUUGAGGCUCGAAGGCGUGGGGAGCAAACAGG
rnacentral:rRNA from 1 species